rnacentral:rRNA from 1 species
UGGGGAAUUUUGCGCAAUGGGCGAAAGCCUGACGCAGCGACGCCGCGUGGGGGAAGAAGGCCUUCGGGUUGUAAACUCCUUUAGUACGGAAAGAAGCCUUCGGGUGACGGUACCGUAAGAAUAAGCCACGGCUAACUCUGUGCCAGCAGCCGCGGUAAUACAGAGGUGGCAAGCGUUGUUCGGAUUUACUGGGCUUAAAGGGCGUGUAGGCGUCCUGAUAAGUCAGAUGUGGAAGCCCUGGGCUCAACCCAGGAAGUGCAUUUGAAACUGUCAGGAUUGAGUCAUGCAAGGGAGGACGGAAUUCCUGGUGUAGCGGUGAAAUGCGUAGAUAUCAGGAGGAAGGCCGGUGGUGAAGACGGUCCUCUAGGCAAUGACUGACGCUGAGGCGCGAAAGCGUGGGUAGCAAACA